AGGAUUGCGACGUAGAGUAGUGCAAGACGAGCUGACAUCUAGCCACGUGAUAUCCCAGCGUUUUCUGUACGACGGAUUUGGCUCGGAGGAUAGCUAUUCACAACAUUUCGAGGAUUUCACCGCACCGGAGGACCACUGGCGUUUGGACAGAGUUGAUGUACUAUUGCUGUACGUACUGUCAUAAGUCUAUAUGCCACGAUAUAUGGACGAGAUAGA
rnacentral:lncRNA from 1 species